rnacentral:rRNA from 1 species
AGUGAACGCUGGCGGUAGGCCUAACGCAUGCAAGUCGAACGGCAGCACAGUAAGAGCUUGCUCUUACGGGUGGCGAGUGGCGGACGGGUGAGGAAUACAUCGGAAUCUACUUUUUCGUGGGGGAUAACGUAGGGAAACUUACGCUAAUACCGCAUACGACCUACGGGUGAAAGCAGGGGAUCUUCGGACCUUGCGCGAUUGAAUGAGCCGAUGUCGGAUUAACUAGUUGGCGGGGUAAAGGCCCACCAAGGCGACGAUCCGUAGCUGGUCUGAGAGGAUGAUCAGCCACACUGGAACUGAGACACGGUCCAGACUCCUACGGGAGGCAGCAGUGGGGAAUAUUGGACAAUGGGCGCAAGCCUGAUCCAGCCAUACCGCGUGGGUGAAGAAGGCCUUCGGGUUGUAAAGCCCUUUUGUUGGGAAAGAAAAGCAGCAGGUUAAUACCCCGCUGUUCUGACGGUACCCAAAGAAUAAGCACCGGCUAACUUCGUG